UAUUCUUUUUGUUUUUACUCGUAAAACUUACACAAUUAUCUCGUACAAAAACUGUGCUACCAACCAAGCAUCACUCUAAAUUUUAAAAUUAUUUUAAAUUAUUGUAAAUUAACAAAAAAAACCAUUUUUCAGAUAGUCGAUCCGAUUCUUUAUAAAAAAUAUUUAAUAGUAUGGACUGAAAGAUCGAAUAAUGGUACCGAAAGCAGAGUAUUUCGUUGUAAAACUUUUCAAUGCGAAGGUUGGUGUGUCAUUGAAGGUUACAAUGUAACCGAAUUUUUAUGUCCAAUAUGUAAACGAAAUAAUUAUGUCAACGUGGAACUUGCGCAAAAUGAAAACUACGAAAAUAAAGAAGAACAAAUUGAAAGAUACGAAGAGCUUGUAGCAUUGACGGAAAAUAAGAUGGUGCCAAAUUUCGAGCCGUUCGAAUGCCCUAUUUGUUUGAUUUCUUAUAAACCGUUGGAUGGAUUGGUAUUAAAAAACUGUUUGCACACAUUUUGCAAAGAAUGUAUUUCCAACACGGUGAAUUUUUCUGAAGACGUUGACGUUAAAUGUCCAUAUACAGAUAACAAUUAUUCGUGCAACGCAACUAUCGAACAAUGCGAAAUCAAAGAAGUAAAAAUAUUUUUCAAACU